AUUCCCCACAAAUGCCGUUAAUGUUAAGCCCCGAACCUAAACCCAAUGCGCUAAAACCCCGAGUGCCAAAGAUCUGAGUUCUGAGAGCACCACCACCGCCACCGGAAUCUAUAAGUCAAUCGGCGUUCCGAUGGUCUCUUAAGCAGACUUACUUCCUCAACGACUUCAUCCCUCUCCUAUCAUUGUAUCCACAAGCCUUUUACGCGAAUGAGAAGGUUCACGUGGUUAACGCCGUAUCGGCGCCAUUUUCUUUCGCCUGUGACCUCAGAAUCGCUCGUGGAUAAAGGAGAUUCGUUCAACAAAUUCUUAUCGUCUCGCCAAUCCUUUUUGCUCGCACGAGCUUUGGUCAAUUGCGGUUUCGUCACGAAAACGGAGGAGUCUCGGGUUCCGAGAGCACCGUUAGGAUAUCGUUAUGUUCAUGCCACAGCAUUUUCUUCUUCGGCUGACCGAGACUUCUAUCGAGUUCUCGGUGUUCCUGAAAAUGCCAGUCAGGACGAGAUAAAGAAGGCAUUUCACUCGCUUGCUAAAAAGUACCAUCCAGAUGCAAAUAAGAAUAAUCCAUCUGCUAAGAGGAAGUUUCAAGAUAUAAGAGAAGCUUAUGAGACAUUGAGAGACUCUAAAAAGAGAGCAGAGUAUGACAAGAUGCGUACUCGUGGUUCAGAAGGCGUAGAAUAUGACCAUAAUGAUGCAGAAAGGUUUAGAAAUGCUUAUCGUUCUCAUUUUUCUGAUUCAUUUCAUAAAGUAUUCUCUGAGAUAUUUGAAGAAGCAACAACUCAAUUCUCAUCAAAUAUAGAGGUGGAGUUGUCUCUUAGCUUCUCAGAAGCAGCAAGAGGAUGCACCAAACAUGUGUCAUUUGAUGCAUCAGUUCCCUGUGAUUAUUGUAAUGGGCGGGGCUAUCCACUUGAUGCCAUCCCAAAAGUUUGUCCAACAUGCCGGGGCUUAGGUCAAGUUACAAUUCCUCCAUUUACGUCAACAUGCAUUACUUGUAAAGGAUCAGGCCAUAUUAUUAAGGACUUUUGUGUCUCGUGUAGAGGAUCUGGGGUGGUUGAAGGAGUUAAAGAGGUUAAAGUCACAAUACCAGCAGGUGUGGAUUCAGGAGAUACAAUCCAUGUGCCAGAAGGUGGGAAUGCUGCUGGAAGUGGAGGCCGACCUGGAAGUUUAUACAUUAAAAUAAAGGUCGCUGAGGAUUCAAUCUUUGUCAGAGAUGGUGCAGAUAUCUACGUGGAUUCUAAUAUUAGUUUUACACAGGCUAUUCUUGGUGGCAAAGUUGAGGUGCCUACUUUAUCAGGGAGGAUGCAAUUAAAAAUACCCAAGGGUGUUCAACAUGGACAGCUUCUGGUAUUAAGAGGCAAAGGACUACCAAAGCAUGGAUAUCUUGUACAUCAUGGGGAUCAGUAUGUACGAUUCCGUGUUAACUUUCCCAUUGAAAUCAAUGAACGACAACGUGCUAUUCUUGAAGAACUUGCAAAGGAGGAAAUAAAGGAGGGAAACAGCACUUCAUUUGAAGGAAAUUGGUGGCAGCAAAUUCUUGAACACAUGACGGGUCCUAAGUUUAUGCUGGAACUAUCUUUGCUGAUGUUAAUCCUUGUCUUCAUUAACAAAGUGUUGAGCUGAUAUUUUGUUCAAGAUAAAAUAUGAUUGCACAGCGGACUUGGCAAAGACAAAAAUCCUUGUGAUUGCAAUGUUCUUCAUCCUUACGGACAUGUGAACUGUAAGCAAUUGAUCAAGGUUGCUUGCAUGCAGAUGUCUUAUUGAUCGGAAAUCAACGCUAUCGCUCAAUGAUGCUAUUUCUUGGCGGCCAGUCCUUUAACACAUUAUCAAAUUUCAAUGAAUAAAAUUGCCAGUGAUUAUUUCAUGAGAAUUCUUCUACAGUUUUACAAAUUUAUCGGAAGGUCCCCGUGGAAUACAAAUAAAAAUUGGGAAAUUCCGAUGUAUAUUUUUUCCCUCAAAUUUUCAAAAUGUUAUUUUGUGCAUUUGAUGUUGUAAUUUACCCUGCUCGGGGGGUUGGAUUUCUUUAAUGUAAAGUCUGUUUGGAUACAAGUAGAACUUCUCUAUCAGAAAAUAUUUUUUAUUUUUGGUAGAGAAAUUUUUAAAAACGUUUUUAGCUUGUAUCCAAACAUUUGGAUUCUUUUGUGCU